GAUGAACGCUGGCGGCGUGCCUAAUACAUGCAAGUCGAGCGAAUGGAUUAAGAGCUUGCUCUUAUGAAGUUAGCGGCGGACGGGUGAGUAACACGUGGGUAACCUGCCCAUAAGACUAGGAUAACUCCGGGAAACCGGGGCUAAUACCGGAUAACAUUUUGAACCGCAUGGUUCGAAAUUGAAAGGCGGCUUCGGCUGUCACUUAUGGAUGGUCCCGCGUCGCAUUAGCUAGGUGGUGAGGUAACGGCUCACCAAGGCAACAAUGCGUAGCCGACCUGGGAGGGUGAUCGGCCACACUGGGACUGAGACACGGCCCAGACUCCUACGGGAGGCAGCAGUAGGGAAUCUUCCGCAAUGGACGAAAGUCUGACGGAGCAACGCCGCGUGAGUGAUGAAGGCUUUCGGGUCGUAAAACUCUGUUGUUAGGGAAGAACAAGUGCUAGUUGAAUAAGCUGGCACCUUGACGGUACCUAACCAGAAAGCCACGGCUAACUACGUGCCAGCCGCCGCAGUAA
rnacentral:rRNA from 1 species